rnacentral:rRNA from 1 species
GUAGGUGGCAAGCGUUGUCCGGAAUUAUUGGGCGUAAAGCGCGCGCAGGCGGUCCUUUAAGUCUGAUGUGAAAGCCCACGGCUCAACCGUGGAGGGUCAUUGGAAACUGGGGGACUUGAGUACAGAAGAGGAAAGCGGAAUUCCAGGUGUAGCGGUGAAAUGCGUAGAGAUUUGGAGGAACACCAGUGGCGAAGGCGGCUUUCUGGUCUGUAACUGACGCUGAGGCGCGAAAGCGUGGGGAGCAAACAGGGAUUAGAUACCCUGGUAGUCCAUGCCGUAAACGAUGAGUGCUAAGUGUUAGGGGGUUUCCGCCCCCUUAGUGCUGCAGCUAACGCAUUAAGCACUCCGCCUGGGGAUACGGCCGCAAGGCUG